rnacentral:rRNA from 1 species
UACGAGGGGGGCAAGCGUUGUUCGGAAUUAUUGGGCGUAAAGGGCGCGUAGGCGGUGCGGUAAGUCACCUGUGAAAACUCUGGGCUCAACUCAGAGCCUGCAGGCGAAACUGCCGUGCUUGAGUGUGGGAGAGGUGCGUGGAAUUCCCGGUGUAGCGGUGAAAUGCGUAGAUAUCGUAAGGAAGACCAGUGGCGGAAGGCGGGUCUCUGGACAGUUCCUGACGCUGAGGCACGAAGGUCAGGGGAGCAAACGGG